UAGGGAAUCUUCGGCAAUGGACGGAAGUCUGACCGAGCAACGCCGCGUGAGUGAAGAAGGUUUUCGGAUCGUAAAACUCUGUUGCCAGGGAAGAAAGGUGAGGCGAGUAACUGCGCUUUGCUUGACGGUACCUGAGAAGAAAGCCCCGGCUAACUACGUGCCAGCAGCCGCGGUAAUACGUAGGGGGCAAGCGUUGUCCGGAAUUAUUGGGCGUAAAGCGCGCGCAGGCGGUCAUUUAAGUCUGGUGUAUAAACUUGAGGCUCAACCUCAGGACGCAUUGGAAACUGGAUGACUAGAGUGUAGGAGAGGGAAGUGGAAUUCCACGUGUAGCGGUGAAAUGCGUAGAGAUGUGGAGGAACACCAGUGGCGAAGGCGACUUUCUGGCCUAUAACUGACGCUGAGGCGCGAAAGCGUGGGGAGCAAACA
rnacentral:rRNA from 1 species